rnacentral:rRNA from 1 species
UGUAUGGUUAAGUGACUAAGCGUACACGGUGGAUGCCUGGGCAGUCAGAGGCGAUGAAGGACGUACUAACUUGCGAUAAGCGCAGAUAAGGCAGUAAGAGCCGUUUGAGUCUGCGAUUUCCGAAUGGGGAAACCCAACUGCAUAAGCAGUUACUGUUAACUGAAUACAUAGGUUAACAGAGCAAACCGGGGGAACUGAAACAUCUAAGUACCCCGAGGAGAAGAAAUCAACCGAGAUUCCGGUAGUAGCGGCGAGCGAACCUGGAUUAGCCCUUAAGCACUCGGUGAAGUAGGUGAACAAGCUGGAAAGCUUGGCGAUACAGGGUGAUAGCCCCGUAACCGACGCUUCAUCGAGCGUGAAAUCGAGUAGGGCGGGACACGUGAUAUCCUGUCUGAAUAUGGGGGGACCAUCCUCCAAGGCUAAAUACUCCUGACUGACCGAUAGUGAACCAGUACCGUGAGGGAAAGGCGAAAAGAACCCCUGUGAGGGGAGUGAAAUAGAACCUGAAACCGUGUACGUACAAGCAGUAGGAGCACCUUCGUGGUGUGACUGCGUACCUUUUGUAUAAUGGGUCAGCGACUUAUAUUCAGUGGCAA